rnacentral:miRNA from 1 species
UUGUGGAUCUCAAGGAUGUGCU